CUACGGGACGCAGCAGUCGAGAAUCUUCCGCAAUGGGCGCAAGCCUGACGGAGCAAUGCCGCGUGAGGGAUGAAGGCCCUAGGGUUGUAAACCUCUGUCAGAAGGGACGAAGAACGUGACGGUACCUUCAGAGGAAGCCAUGGCUAACUACGUGCCAGCAGCCGCGGUAAUACGUAGAUGGCGAGCGUUAUUCGGAUUUACUGGGCGUAAAGGGUCCGCAGGGGGUCUGCCAAGUCUGAUGUGAAAUCCUGCGGCUCAACCGCGGAACUGCAUUGGAAACUGGCGGACUAGAGUGUGCGAGGGGUGAGCGGAAUUCCUGGUGUAGCGGUGGAAUGCGUAGAUAUCAGGAAGAACACCGAUGGCGAAGGCGGCUCACUGGCGCAUCACUGACCCUGAGGGACGAAAGCGUGGGUAGCAAACAGGAUUAGAUACCCCCGUAGUC
rnacentral:rRNA from 1 species